rnacentral:rRNA from 1 species
GAACGAACGCUGGCGGCAUGCCUAAUACAUGCAAGUCGAACGGAGAUAGCAAUAUCUUAGUGGCGAACGGGUGCGUAACACGUGAGCAACCUGCCUUAUACAUCGGAAUAACAGCUGGAAACGGCUGCUAAUACCGGAUAAGACCACACCAAGGCAUCUUGGAGAGGUCAAAGCGAAUUAGCGGUAUAAGAUGGGCUCGCGUCCAAUUAGCUAGUUGGUGGGGUAACGGCCCACCAAGGCAACGAUUGGUAGCCGACUUGAGAGAGUGAUCGGCCACACUGGAACUGAGACACGGUCCAGACUCCUACGGGAGGCAGCAGUAGGGAAUAUUGGGCAAUGGAGGAAAAACUCUUACCCAGCAAUGCCGCGUGAAUGAUGAAGGUCUUAUGGAUUGUAAAGUUCUUUAAUUGGGGACGAAAGAAAUGACGGUACCCAAAGAAUAAGCCCCGGCUAACUAUGUGCCAGCCGCCGC